rnacentral:snRNA from 1 species
AUCUUUGCGCUUGGGGCAAUGACGCAGCUAGUGAGGUUCUAACCGAGGCGCGUCUAUUGCUGGUUGAAAACUAUUUCCAAACCCCCUCUAUGGCCUUGGUUCUGCCUUGGCCGUCGAGAAUUUUUGGAAGGGCUCCCUUUUAGGGUAAAGCC